AGAGUUUGAUCCUGGCUCAGGAUGAACGCUAGCGGCGGGCUUAAUACAUGCAAGUCAAGGGGUAGCAAUACACCGGCGUACGGGUGCGUAAUGCGUAUGGAACCUGCCCUUAUCUGGGGGAUAACUCNGGGGAAACUCGAGCUAAUACCGCAUAAGAUAGUAGAAUGGCAUCAUUCAGCUAUUAAAGAUUUAUUGGAUAAGGAUGGCCAUGCGUAAGAUUAGAUAGUUGGCGAGGUAACGGCUCACCAAGUCUACGAUCUUUAGGGGCUCUGAGAGGAGAAUCCCCCACACUGGCACUGAGAUACGGGCCAGACUCCUACGGGAGGCAGCAGUAGGGAAUAUUGGGCAAUGGGCGGAAGCCUGACCCAGCCACGCCGCGUGCAGGAAGACGGACCUCUGGGUUGUAAACUGCUUUUAACUGGGAAGAAAAGAGGCCUUGCGAGGCAAGUUGACGGUACCAGGUGAAUAAGCCACGGGUAACUACGUGCC
rnacentral:rRNA from 1 species